GCAUAAUACAGACUCUAGUUUCUACUCAUUGACAAUUUAUUUAUGAUUUCCAUGUAAGCUGCUUGUGAACCAAACUGCCCAUCCUUUAUACAUGUGUGCAACAUCAAAGAAACAAGCAUCAAUGGAUAAUGUUCAAAAUACUUCACAAAUUAAUAAGCUACAUGCAUGUUAAACUUUGAACAAGAACUUGUGAAUUCACAUGAAAUGAUACAAAAAAAAGAUUAUGCUAAUCAACAGACCACUAGCUACUCAAGAUAAUUAUGCAGGGAGCUAAGCCGAAUCCAAUCUAUCCACAAAGUAUGAAAUGAAGACCAAUAUCGCACCACAAAUUAUCAAAUGAAGUUGCCAGAAAGAAAAAUGACAAACUUCACAAUCAUUGCUUAUAGUAGCCACUUUGAUGUGGAGGGGGGUAUGGAUUAGGAACA
rnacentral:misc_RNA from 1 species